rnacentral:rRNA from 1 species
UACAGAGGUCUCAACCGUUGUUCGGAGUCAUUGGGCGUAAAGGGUGCGUAGGCGGUCGUGCAAGUCGGAUGUGAAAUCUCAGGGCUCAACCCUGAAACUGCAUUCGAUACUGCGUGGCUAGAGUGCUGGAGAGGAGACUGGAAUUUACGGUGUAGCAGUGAAAUGCGUAGAUAUCGUAAGGAAGACCAGUGGCGAAGGCGAGUCUCUGGACAGCAACUGACGCUGAGGCACGAAGGCCAGGGGAGCAAACGGG